rnacentral:lncRNA from 1 species
UUUUUUUUUUUUUUUUUUUUUUUUUAUGAUAGUCACACAGAGAGAGAGAGAGACAGAGACACAGGCAGAGGGAGAAGCAGGCUCCAUGCACCGGGAGCCAGACGCGGGAUUUGAUCCCACGUCUCUAGGAUCGCGCCCUGGGCCAAAGGCAGGCGCCAAACCACUGCGCCACCCAGGGAUCCCCACUAGUGGGGUCUUUAUAUAUUUUGGACUUAAGACUUUUUCAAAAAUAUUCAUUGCAAACAUUUCCUCCUAGUUGGUAGCUUACCUUUUUGUGUUUUUAGUGGUGUCCCCUGAAGAGCACAAUUAUUUCUUAAAUAAUCCAUGCUUUUUUGUAUCCUAUGAAACCUCUACCCAUCCCUAGGUCAUGAAGAUUUUCUCCUGUGUUUAGUUCUGGUUAUUUUAUAAUAUAUUAGCAUUUAUAUUUACUCCUACAAUCCUAUUAGAAUUUAAUUUUUGUGUGAGGUAAGCUAAGGAUUAAGAUGCAUUUUUUUCCUAUAUGGAAAUUUGGUUGUUCUAGUAUGAUUUGUUGAAAAGACUAACAUUUCCUCAUUGCAUUACCUUGGCACUGUAAAAUCAAAAAUUUCCUUGGCACUCUAAAACAUCAGUUACUAUUUGUGUUGUCUAUUUGUGGACUCUUUAUUCUUUUCCAUUGGUUAACUUAUCUGUCCUGAAAUCAGUACCACAUUGUCUUGAUAGAGACUUAGAAUAUCUUAAACUUACAUAGUGUAAGCUCUCUAACUUUGUUUUUCUCCUUUAUGUUUUUUGUCUUUCCAUACAUAUUUUAGAAUAAUCUUGUCUUUUUCUACAAAAAUUUUCUAUUGGGAUUUGGAUAGGAAUUGUAUUUUCUAAUUAUUAACUGACAUUGCAUGGAAAUGAAAUUGAAUUUUAUAUAUUGUCUAUUUCCUGAAGUCUUAUUUCACUCAUCAUUUAAAGUAGAUCUCUUCCUACAUUAACUAGGAUUUUGUAUAUAGAUACUCAUGUCCUCAUAUUAUCUGCAAAUACACACUAUUUUAUUUCUUAUUUGCCAAUCUACUAAUCUCUAUGUUUUUUGUUUUGAUUUUAUUGCACUGAUUAGAACCUCCAUUAUAAAGUUGAAUAUAAAUGGUCAUUCUUCAUUCCUGAUUUUAAGGGAAAUCACACACCCUUUUAUUAGCGAUGAUGUUAGAUGUAGACUUUAUCAUAUUGAGAUGGUUUUUAUAAUAAGUAGCAGUUGAAUAUUAUCAAAUAAUUUUUCUGUAUCUAUUAAAACAAGCACAGUUCUCUUUUUUAUCUUAUUGUGAAUGGCAUUGAUUGAUUUUCAAAUGUUAAAACAAAAUCACAUUCGUGAGAUAGACUCCAUUUAGUCAUGACAUAUGAUUCCAUAUUUUUAGGUUGCUAAGUUUAAUUUGCUAAUAUUUUGUUAAGAAAUUUUAUGUCUACCUUAAUGAGAGAUUUGAUAUGCAGUUUUAUUUUGUGCACUGUCUUUGUCUAGUUUUAGUAUUAAGGUAAUGCUCAUUUCAUAAAGUUAAAUGACAAGUGUUCCUUCUAGCCUCUGCAAGGUUCUCAGUAAUACUGGUAUUGCUUCUUUCUGAAAUGUAUGCUCAAGUACAUUGAUGAAGCGUUCUGAGUCUAUUGUUCUCUUCAUGAGAAAGUAUUUACUUCUAAAUUCAAUGUCUUUAAUAGGUUAUUCAGUUUUUUCUAUUUCUCCUUAAGUUAAUUUUGAUAAUUUGUAUUUUUAAGGAAUUUGUACUUUUCUUCUAUGUAGUAAGAAGUACAUAGUAUUAGAAGCUAUUAAUAAUG